GAUGAACGCUGGCGGCGUGCCUAAUACAUGCAAGUCGAGCGAAGCGGGCACGGUUGUGUAACACGUGGAUAACCUCCUAUAAGACUGUGAUAACUUCGGGAAACCGGUGCUAAACCGGCUACUUAUAGUUGGAUCCGCGCUGCAUUAGCUAGUUGGUAAGGUAACGGCUUACCAAGGCAACGAUGCAUAGCCGACCUGAGAGGGGGAUCGGCCACACUGGAACUGAGACACGGUCCAGACUCCUACGGGAGGCAGCAGUAGGGAAUCUUCCGCAAUGGGCGAAAGCCUGACGGAGCAACGCCGCGUGAGUGAUGAAGGUCUUCGGAUCGUAAAACUCUGUUAUUAGGGAAGCGGUACCUAAUAAGAAAGCCACGGCUAACUACGUGCCAGCAGCCGCGGUAAUUG
rnacentral:rRNA from 1 species